ACUCCUGCGGGAGGCAGCAGUGGGGAAUAUUGCACAAUGGGCGCAAGCCUGAUGCAGCCAUGCCGCGUGUAUGAAGAAGGCCUUCGGGUUGUAAAGUACUUUCAGCGGGGAGGAAGGCGAUAAGGUUAAUAACCUUGUCGAUUGACGUUACCCGCAGAAGAAGCACCGGCUAACUCCGUGCCAGCAGCCGCGGUAAUACGGAGGGUGCAAGCGUUAAUCGGAAUUACUGGGCGUAAAGCGCACGCAGGCGGUCUGUCAAGUCGGAUGUGAAAUCCCCGGGCUCAACCUGGGAACUGCAUUCGAAACUGGCAGGCUAGAGUCUUGUAGAGGGGGGUAGAAUUCCAGGUGUAGCGGUGAAAUGCGUAGAGAUCUGGAGGAAUACCGGUGGCGAAGGCGGCCCCCUGGACAAAGACUGACGCUCAGGUGCGAAAGUGUGGGGAGCAAACAGGAUUAGAUACCCUGGUAGUCCCAUG
rnacentral:rRNA from 1 species